rnacentral:rRNA from 1 species
GACGAACGCUGGCGGCGUGCUUAACACAUGCAAGUCGAACGGAAAGGCCCUGCUUUUGUGGGGUGCUCGAGUGGCGAACGGGUGAGUAACACGUGAGUAACCUGCCCUUGACUUUGGGAUAACUUCAGGAAACUGGGGCUAAUACCGGAUAGGAGCUCCUGCUGCAUGGUGGGGGUUGGAAAGUUUCGGCGGUUGGGGAUGGACUCGCGGCUUAUCAGCCUGUUGGUGGGGUAGUGGCUUACCAAGGCUUUGACGGGUAGCCGGCCUGAGAGGGUGACCGGCCACAGUGGGACUGAGAUACGGCCCAGACUCCUACGGGAGGCAGCAGUGGGGAAUAUUGCAAAAUGGGCGGAAGCCUGAUGCAGCAACGCCGCGUGCGGGAUGACGGCCUUCGGGUUGUAAACCGCUUUCGCCUGUGACGAAGCGUGAGUGACGGUAAUGGGUAAAGAAGCACCGGCUAACUACGUG